rnacentral:rRNA from 1 species
UACGUAGGGUGCGAGCGUUAAUCGGAAUUACUGGGCGUAAAGCGUGCGUAGGCGGUUCUCCAAGUCCGUUGUGAAAGCCCCGGGCUCAACCUGGGAAUGGCAGUGGAAACUAGGGGACUGGAAUCUGGCAGAGGGGGGUGGAAUGCCGCGGUGUAGCAGUGAAAUGCGUAGAGAUGCGGCGGAACACCGAUGGCGAAGGCAGCCCCCUGGGCUGAGAUUGACGCUCAGGCACGGAAAGCGUGGGGAGCAAACAGG